ensembl:lncRNA
UUUUUUUUUUUUGUUUUUGUUUUUUGCAGCUGGACAUUUGUUUUUCUUACUCUCUCUUAAUUAUGACUUAAUUCUUAAGACUUGGGCAAACACUUCCAGUAUCAUAAGGGGCUUGCUGCCUGGCGGGGCAGCCUGUGCCCCACUGUGAUACUUUAUUCACCCUUCAGCCAGACUUCAUUCUCCUUACCAGAGGCAUUGCCAUGGCAACCUCCCUCCUCUGGGCAAUAAGUAUUGGCGGCAAAGUCCUACAUACUUAAUAUGUUUGAUGUUUUACUUUUCAAAACAUUCUUUGGGGAAAUUCAAGUUGUCCUGUCGAACAAAAUAAAUAAGCUUUUUAUUGUCAACAAGGGCUAAGGGCGGCAGCUUUGAUAACAGGGAAAGCUUGGACGGGUCAAAAACUCGAAACCAGAGUGAGCAGGUCACAUCCAGUUCCACUUGAGAUGAGAAAGGAAUGGGAAACCUCUCAGUGCUGAUGGAAACUGACUCAGAUCCCAGAUGCUGCUGGGGAAGCUCUAGCCUAAGGUGGCUGCUGGGAUGAAGUGAGCCCUGGUCCAAACCCAACCUUGUAAUGUUUGUGUAGCUGCCACCACUGGAGGGAACAGGUAUUUCUCCUACAGACAGUCCACCUUGGGGGUGCUGGGGCUUUCCUUUCUUUUCUGGGUGGCAUCACACCAGAGUCCUCUUUAGCAUGGAAGCCCUUAAGAGUGUACACGCAUCACAGAGCCCACUGAGAGCUUUGCAGAGGCUGAGGGACCGGGUAGCCCAAUGUCCUCCCCUAUCUCUGCCAUCUGUCUAUGCACUAGUUACAGAGACAGGCUCUUAUUGGGCAUUUUUAAAUAUUUGAGUGUUAAAAAAUAAAAAUUUACUGUAAAUUAAGUAUUAUGCUUCUUGGCUUCAUUGGUAAAUAUUUUUUUCUUUAAAGUAUAUCUAUAUGAGUUUCUCCCUAUCUUUCUUUAUUUUGCUCAUUUGUUUUUUCUUCUUCCUUUGCUCUGUCUCUCUCUCUCCCGUUUUUCUUCCUUCCAUUUAAAAAAAUGUAGUUAUGAAUUUAUUUUGCCCAUUUAAUGAGAUUUUCUCUGGCAUAUUAGAAACAGAGUGGAUGUGGAGUCAGACAAACCCAGGUUGGAAUCCACACGUUUCUAUUUAUUAGCUAUAUAGACUUGGCAUAGCUGUCCUGGUUUGUUCAGGGCUGAGAGGCUUUCUGGAACACGGGACUUUCAGUGCUGAACCUGGGACAGUCCUGGACAAACUGGGAUGGUUGGUCACCUUACUUGGACAAGAUACUUAGCUUCCCUGAGCCUUGGUUUCUUCACCUGUGAGCUGGGGAUAAUAAUACCUGUCUCACUGGGGCUAUUUUGAGGGUUGGAAAUAGUGUAAGAAAAGGGCCUGAAACUACGUCUGGGACAUUGUAGAUUCUCAAUAAUGAUAAUGAUAAUGAUAAUGAUAAUGACAGCAAUAUUAACAUUAAUAAUCAUCUGUAUUUUUUAAAGGCUCAGAGUGAUUUUUUCUGCCAUCAGUGCUUUUCUCUUUUUUUCUAAUGUUUUUUCAAGGAGAAAAAGUUUAUUUCGUUUUCUUCAUUUUUACAUAAGCCUGGGUAUUAUGGUUUGAAUGUUUGUCCCCUCCAAAACUCAUGUUGAAACUUAAUUCCCAAAGUGGAAAUAAUGAGGAAUGGGGCCUUUAAGAGAACUUCACUCUCAUGAAUGGAUUAAUCCAUUCAUAGAGUAAUAUAUUAGUGAG